rnacentral:rRNA from 1 species
AGGCACUACGGUGCUGAAGCGACAAAUGCCCUGCUUCCAGGAAAAGCCUCUAAGCAUCAGGUAACAUCAAAUCGUACCCCAAACCGACACAGGUGGUCAGGUAGAGAAUACCAAGGCGCUUGAGAGAACUCGGGUGAAGGAACUAGGCAAAAUGGUGCCGUAACUUCGGGAGAAGGCACGCUGAUAUGUAGGUGAAGCGACUUGCUCGUGGAGCUGAAAUCAGUCGAAGAUACCAGCUGGCUGCAACUGUUUAUUAAAAACACAGCACUGUGCAAACACGAAAGUGGACGUAUACGGUGUGACGCCUGCCCGGUGCCGGAAGGUUAAUUGAUGGGGUUAGCGGCAACGCGAAGCUCUUGAUCGAAGCCCCGGUAAACGGCGGCCGUAACUAUAACGGUCCUAAGGUAGCGAAAUUCCUUGUCGGGUAAGUUCCGACCUGCACGAAUGGCGUAAUGAUGGCCAGGCUGUCUCCACCCGAGACUCAGUGAAAUUGAACUCGCUGUGAAGAUGCAGUGUACCCGCGGCAAGACGGAAAGACCCCGUGAACCUUUACUAUAGCUUGACACUGAACAUUGAGCCUUGAUGUGUAGGAUAGGUGGGAGGCUUUGAAGUGUGGACGCCAGUCUGCAUGGAGCCGACCUUGAAAUACCACCCUUUAAUGUUUGAUGUUCUAACGUUGGCCCGUAAUCCGGGUUGCGGACAGUGUCUGGUGGGUAGUUUGACUGGGGCGGUCUCCUCCUAAAGAGUAACGGAGGAGCACGAAGGUUGGCUAAUCCUGGUCGGACAUCAGGAGGUUAGUGCAAUGGCAUAAGCCAGCUUGACUGCGAGCGUGACGGCGCGAGCAGGUGCGAAAGCAGGUCAUAGUGAUCCGGUGGUUCUGAAUGGAAGGGCCAUCGCUCAACGGAUAAAAGGUACUCCGGGGAUAACAGGCUGAUACCGCCCAAGAGUUCAUAUCGACGGCGGUGUUUGGCACCUCGAUGUCGGCUCAUCACAUCCUGGGGCUGAAGUAGGUCCCAAGGGUAUGGCUGUUCGCCAUUUAAAGUGGUACGCGAGCUGGGUUUAGAACGUCGUGAGACAGUUCGGUCCCUAUCUGCCGUGGGCGCUGGAGAACUGAGGGGGGCUGCUCCUAGUACGAGAGGACCGGAGUGGACGCAUCACUGGUGUUCGGGUUGUCAUGCCAAUGGCACUGCCCGGUAGCUAAAUGCGGAAGAGAUAAGUGCUGAAAGCAUCUAAGCACGAAACUUGCCCCGAGAUGAGUUCUCCCUGAGACUUAGAGUCUCCUGAAGGAACGUUGAAGACGACGACGUUGAUAGGCCGGGUGUGUAAGCGCAGCGAUGCGUUGAGCUAACCGGUACUAAUGAACCGUGAGGCUUAACCUU